rnacentral:rRNA from 1 species
UACGGAGGGUGCGAGCGUUAAUCGGAAUUACUGGGCGUAAAGCGCACGUAGGUGGUUCGUUAAGUCGGAUGUGAAAUCCCCGGGCUCAACCUGGGAACUGCAUUUGUGACUGCAAGGCUAGAGUACGGCAGAGGGGGAUGGAAUUCCGCGUGUAGCAGUGAAAUGCGUAGAUAUGCGGAGGAACACCAAUGGCGAAGGCAAUCCCCUGGGCCUGCACUGACGCUCAUGCACGAAGGCGUGGGGAGCAAACAGGAUUAGAAACCCGAGUAGU